GAAGGCAGAUAGGAGCGAGGGGGAGAGUGGAGAGAGGAGCGAGGGGGAGAGGGCAGAGAGGAGCUAGGGGGAGAGGGGUGAGAGGAACUAGGGGGAGAGGGGAGAGAGGAGCUAGGGGGAGAGGGGAGAGAGGAGCGAGGGGGAGAAGGCAGAGAGGAGCGAGGGGGAGAGGGGUGAGAGGAACUAGGGGGAGAGGGGAGAGAGGAGCUAGGGGGAGAGGGGAGAGAGGAACUAGGGGGAGAGGGGAGAGAGCAACUAGGGGGAGAGGGGAGAGAGGAACUAGGGGGGAGAGGGGAGAGAGGAACUAGGGGGAGAGGGGAGAGAGGAACUAGGGGGAGAGGGGUAGGGGCUGGAACUCUGAACCACAGGUAUGAGCAGAUGUUAGAUGAAGGUGUGAUGUUUCUCUAUGUUUGUUGGUUGAGUUGUUCUUAGUCCUGAACCAAAAAAAAACAUUGAUACAACCUACUGAAUGGAACACAGAUGAAAUGUUGAUCUGAAAUGGCAGUGCAUUCCAAACUCUCCCUGUAGGUCCUAACCCUCUUCCUGUAGGUCCUUACCCUCUUCCUGUAGGUCCUUACCCUCUUCCUGUAGGUCCUUACCCUCUUCCUGUAGGUCCUUACCCUCUUCCUGUAGGUCCUUACCCUCUUCCUGUAGGUCCUUACCCUCUUCCUGUAGGUCCUAACCCUCUUCCUGUAGGUCCUUACCCUCUUCCUGUAGGUCCUUACCCUCUUCCUGUAGGUCCUUACCCUCUCCCUGUAGGUCCUUACCCUCUCCCUGUAGGUCCAUGUCCUUACCCUCUUCCUGUAGGUCCUUACCCUCUCCCUGUAGGUCCUUACCCUCUUCCUGUAGGUCCUAACCCUCUUCCUGUAGGUCCUUACCCUCUUCCUGUAGGUCCUUACCCUCUCCCUGUAGGUCCAUGUCCUUACCCUCUUCCUGUAGGUCCUUACCCUCUCCCUGUAGGUCCUUACCCUCUUCCUGUAGGUCCUUACCCUCUUCCUGUAGGUCCUUACCCUCUCCCUGUAGGUCCUUACCCUCUUCCUGUAGGUCCUUACCCUCUUCCUGUAGGUCCUUACCCUCUCCCUGUAGGUCCUAACCCUCUUCCUGUAGGUCCUAACCCUCUUCCUGUAGGUCCAUGUCCUUACCCUCUUCCUGUAGGUCCUUACCCUCUUCCUGUAGGUCCAUGUCCUUACCCUCUCCCUGUAGGUCCAUACCCUCUCCCUGUAGGUCCUUACCCUCUUCCUGUAGGUCCUUACCCUCUUCCUGUAGGUCCUUACCCUCUUCCUGUAGGUCCUUACCCUCUUCCUGUAGGUCCUUACCCUCUUCCUGUAGGUCCUUACCCUCUUCCUGUAGGUCCUAACCCUCUUCCUGUAGGUCCUUACCCUCUCCCUGUAGGUCCUUACCCUCUUCCUGACUGCCAUUUGUCAUCUUUCUGCAAUGUUGUAGUUCCUGUAUGAAACAGGAAAUGAAGACUUGGUUCAGUUUGAUUGAGCCCAUACAACAUUAUCCAAUAAUAUAUUCUGAUGCUGUAGUCUUGGUAACAGUAUCAUAUAGAAUGUUGGACCACUGUCUUCUUAACCUGAUAAUAUACCACAGUCAGUGUUUAUUGGUCAGAUAAACUUCUGAGAGUGUUUUACCUCAUCUGGACAUUCUGACCACCGUGCUGCAUAGACUACACAUUUUGUCUAUUGACUAGUGAGCUCCAGUAUUGAGUCUUAUUGGCUGAGUCAUUGACUAGUGAGCUCCGGUAUUGAGUCUUAUUGGCUGAGUCAUUGACUAGUGAGCUCCAGUAUUGAGUCUUAUUGGCUGAGUCAUUGACUAGUGAGCUCCAGUAUUGAGUCUUAUUGGCUGAAUCAUUGACUAGUGAGCUCCAGUAUUGAGUCUUAUUGGCUGAGUCAUUGACUAGUGAGCUCCAGCAUUGAGUCUUACUGGCUGAGUCAUUGACUAGUGAGCUCCGGUAUUGAGUCUUAUUGGCUGAGUCAUUGACUAGUGAGCUCCAGUAUUGAGUCUUU
ensembl:lncRNA